CAAGAAGUAGUUUAUUUAGAAUGUCAG
rnacentral:tRNA from 1 species